UGCAGAAGAAGAUAUUUGAUGUUCUCUAUAGGAUAGCAGACAUUCCUUUCUUGAAACCAUACCAGAUAAAAAUCAUUGAUGUUAUUGAGAAGGCAGAGAAACAACCUACCGUCACCAUUGGAGUUCUGGUGCCCACGGUAGUGGUAUUUGCCACUGUCAUAGUCAGGAUUCUCUUUGGUAGCAAAAAGAAACCUCAGAGACAAGUCUCGGCACCGUCUGCUUCCAAAACCAAGUCAGCCGAAACUGUUGGGAAUGAUUCUCCAGGCACUAAUGAAGAGAAAGAAGAUAAUGUAAAAGU